UACGGGGGGGGCAAGCGUUGUUCGGAAUUACUGGGCGUAAAGGGCUCGUAGGCGGCCAACUAAGUCAUACGUGAAAUCCCUCGGCUUAACCGGGGAACUGCGUCUGAUACUGGAAGGCUUGAAUCCGGGAGAGGGAUGCGGAAUUCCAGGUGUAGCGGUGAAAUGCGUAGAUAUCAGGAGGAACACCGGUGGCGAAGGCGGCUUUCUGGACAGAUACCGACGCUGAGGCACGAAAGCUAGGGGAGCAAACAGG
rnacentral:rRNA from 1 species